rnacentral:rRNA from 1 species
UAGUCCACGCCGUAAACGAUGGAUACUAGCUGUUCGUCUAACAUUGGUUAGAUGAGUGGCUAAGCGAAAGUGAUAAGUAUCCCACCUGGGGAGUACGGUCGCAAGACUGAAACUCAAAGGAAUUGACGGGGGCCCGCACAAGCGGUGGAGCAUGUGGUUUAAUUCGAUGAUACGCGAGGAACCUUACCAGGGCUUAAAUGCAGAAUGACAGAUUGGGAAACCAGUCCUUCUUCGGACAUUUUGCAAGGUGCUGCAUGGUUGUCGUCAGCUCGUGCCGUGAGGUGUCAGGUUAAGUCCUAUAACGAGCGCAACCCCUAUCAUUAGUUGCCAGCGGGUAAUGCCGGGAACUCUAAUGAGACUGCCAGCGCAAGCUGCGAGGAAGGUGGGGAUGACGUCAAAUCAUCACGGCCCUUACGUCCUGGGCUACACACGUGCUACAAUGGUUGGGACAAUGGGCAGCCACUACGCGAGUAGGAGCUAAUCCUCAAACCCAAUCUCA